rnacentral:rRNA from 1 species
AUUGAACGCUGGCGGCAUGCUUUACACAUGCAAGUCGAACGGUAACAGGGAGCUUGCUCCGCUGACGGGUGGCGAACGGGUGAGUAAUGCGUCGGAACGUGCCGAGUAGUGGGGGAUAACGCAUCGAAAGGUGUGCUAAUACCGCAUACGAACUGAGGUUGAAAGUGGGGGACCUUCGGGCCUCACGCUAUUCGAGCGGCCGACGUCUGAUUAGCUAGUUGGUGAGGUAAAGGCUAACCAAGGCGACGAUCAGUAGCGGGUCUGAGAGGAUGAUCCGCCACACUGGGACUGAGACACGGCCCAGACUCCUACGGGAGGCAGCAGUGGGGAAUUUUGGACAAUGGGCGCAAGCCUGAUCCAGCCAUGCCGCGUGUCUGAAGAAGGCCUUCGGGUUGUAAAGGACUUUUGUCCGGGAGCAAAUGCUGGUGGCUAACAUCCACCGGAGCUGAGAGUACCGGAAGAAUAAGCACCGGCUAACUACGUGCCAGCCGCCGCGGUAAAAC